rnacentral:rRNA from 1 species
CUGGCUCAGAAUCAACGCUGGCGGCAUGCCUAACACAUGCAAGUCGAACGGGAAAGUCCUUCGGGACGAGUACAGUGGCGCACGGGUGAGUAACGCGUGGGUUAUCUACCUCUGGGUGGGGAAUAACUCGGGGAAACUCGAGCUAAUACCGCAUAACACGUUUACGUUAAAGCAGCAAUGCGCCUGGAGAUGAGCCUGCGUCCGAUUAGCUAGUUGGCGGGGUAAUGGCCCACCAAGGCGACGAUCGGUAGCCGGCCUGAGAGGGCGGUCGGCCACACUGGCACUGAAACACGGGCCAGACUCCUACGGGAGGCAGCAGUGAGGAAUUUUGGGCAAUGGGCGAAAGCCUGACCCAGCAAUGCCGCGUGAACGAUGAAGUCCUUCGGGGAUGUAAAGUUCGUAAGCAGGGAGAAGAAUACCUGACGGGUAUCCUGUGUAAGCCCCGGGCUAAACUACGUGCCAGCAGCCGCGUAAAACGU